AUCCAUAACUGACAGAAUACAUCUAAGAAAAUGUUAAUUAACUCCUCUUGACACCAGAUGCAGUUAAUUUGCUACCUGCCAGUCCAGAAUGUCUGCUGUAUUAUUAGGCUGAAAUCGAAUUGAAAUGUAGCUGCUGACAUGAAGAUCUCCUUGUAAUGCAUUAAAAUGUCUCCUUAAUAUGUCUCAUUAACAUGUCAGACACCUCCUGCGCAACAUAAUCAUCUGACUUGCAGCAGCCGCCGUGCUUAUGGGAGAUGAACAAGAUGGCAGAUGUUACUUCAGGCAAUGUUAGUGAUGGGGCUGAAAUGUACCUGCUUGAAGUUGAAAUGAAGCAUGCUACCAGGCUUCAUCACUUGUCUGUCUGCCUUCAAAUAAGUGUAUGCAGUGACUGUAGUAACCCUUUAAAUAACUCAGGAGCAAUGUGUUAGCUUAUUAUCUUUACACAGCAGAGUUCUUUGUACAGAGAAAUAAAGCAAGGGUGGAAACAAA